rnacentral:rRNA from 1 species
UAGGGAAUUUUCGUCAAUGGGCGCAAGCCUGAACGAGCGAUGCCGCGUGAGUGAAGAAGGCCUUCGGGUCGUAAAGCUCUGUUGCGGGGGAAAAAAGGCAGCAUCAGGAAAUGGGUGCUGACUGAUAGUGCCCCGCCAGAAAGUCACGGCUAACUACGUGCC